CGCUGCCCCGCGCGCGGGGGGCGGAGAGGGGCGGGCCGGCGCGCCGCCAUCUUGCCGCCGUUAACCCCUCAGGGGCCGGGCCCGGGCCCGCACCCCGCACCCCGCACCCCGCACCCCGCGCGGCCCCUGCCCCGCCCCGGGGCUGCCCUGGCCCUGAGGGUCCUGUGGCGGGUGGCGCCGGGUUCGCGUAGGGACACAGAACCAGCACCGGGUUCGCGUCGGGGCACAGAACCAGCGAGGCCUCCGCUGCUUUUCGCAAAACGCGUGUGACGGUCACGGUUUCACUUCCCUCUCCCCUCCCCACGGGCCGUGGGGACAGCAGCUCAAAGCGGUUGCUAACAAGGUGAUUAAACCUUGAACCACGCAAAUAAAGGCCUUGUUCAAAAAUGGAAAGUGAGUGAAUUAUUAACUUGAAAGCCAACAGGGUUUCAGUGAACCGGAGGGCAGGAGUUGGCCGGGCCGGGCGCUGGAGGUCACCGCCCUGCGCUGCCCCCCGGGAGCCGCGGCCGCCCCGCCCGGCUCGCACCGAGCGCGCCGCGCCGCAGGGCUGGAGGGACCCGCAGGGCUCAGCCAGCCCCGCCAGCCCGGGAAACAGCGCCUGACAUCGCGUGCCUCAAGUGCUGGAAAUGCCAUUCGUUCCUGGCGGUGUCGGUGAUAAGGCUUGCUAGAGACCAUACUAAUGAAAAAUAAUUGUUCCUGCCACAGACCGCUUGUAAUUUAUACACAAACUCCUCAACCACCUCUCCUGAUCUCCAUGACCUUUCAAAGAUCAUCAUGAGAGACCUCACUGUAGUGUCUGCCAGUUCUCUCAGCACUCAUUGAUGCAGCCCAUCAAGGCCUGUGUGUUCUUCAAAAACAUUGUGCCUCCUGUAGGACUAACUGAAUCAACUAAGAGAGCACAAGUGUACAUUUAAAUUGGACUCCCUGAUAUCGGCUAAGAAAGAGAUACCUGAGAAUUAGCAGAAAAAAAGUGCCUCCAGGACACAUCUUGAUUUUUUAAACAUGCUUUGCUCAGGUCUUCAGCAGCCAAACUUUACAAUUUUGCCUGAACGGUAUUAUGGACUUUUCAGACCUCUAGCCCAACUUGAGUGAGCACAUUUAAUGCCUGGCUGAAUCAGGCACAUGAUGAGCACCACAGUGUCCAGCAGGCACAGCCAGGAGCUGCGUGUUUCACUCUGGAAAAUAACUGGUGUCCUGGGAGAGAGGAACACCCCCCCAUUUGUUUGCAAUGGCUGCUCAAACACUGUUAUGCUAGAAGCUGUCUAUUCUAGGAAGUUAAGGAAUACACUGAUACUGGGCCAGCUCUUUCUGUGCAGCAAAGCCCAGUUUCUAUGAGCUUUCAGGGAUCACUGAGCAGAUAACUCAGUGCUGGGAACGUGAGAGCACUGUGUCCUGCUGGGUUGGAGGCAGCUGGAGGUGGCAAGCAGUUUUGCAAGGGAGCCAUUUGUAUUUAAAAUUUUAGAUCUGCGUUGUAGAGUGUCAUUUUAGAUACCCAGGUUUAAAAGUUGGAACUUAAAUUUAGGUGUGGAUUAACAACUGGACUUUGUCUCUUGUGGGAAAUGAAUUUCCAGGUUGGGAAAUACUCUAACAAGGCAGUUUUCCCAUUUGCUAAAAUAGCUAUUCGUUUUAAUUUGCAUAAAGAAUAUGGAUGUAUGAGUUCCCAAUUACUUUAAAAGCAAUGAUAUGAUGAAGUAAUUAGUUCAAUGAGGAAAUGAUAUUACGUAGUGGCAAGCUUAGUUUGCCAAGGAUCAAUUUGUUGACAUUUGAAUCCAACUAGAAAUGAAAUGCAUGGAACAAAAAGUAGAAUAUUUUAGUAAAAAAGCCAUCUCAUCAAUUUGGAUACAAAUUAAAAGCAUCUCUGCUUCCCAGCCAGAGGGUCUAAGUAAGGGAUUUCUCUGCAGUGGAAGACUCACAAUGACCAUU